GGAAGGUGAUGUCCUGGUUGUAGGCUGUUCCUGCAGUGCUCAAGGGAACACUGUGUGAAACCAGUGCUAUUAGUCAGCUAUUUACAUUGACUGAGAUACUUGGAAGCUGAGGCAUCUUCUUGUGGUGGAAAGCGGAGGUGGUGAUGGAAAUGGGAAGAGAGACACUGUCUGUAGAAGAAUCCACUCUAAGGGAAGACAUAGCCCACUUUAGGAAGACAGACGUGGAAACAAUAUCCAAAGCUAUAAGGUUAAAUAAUUGAUGACUGGCAAGUGAAGAACCAGGAACCCAGGGUAGCACAGUUGAGAGCAAAACUCAGAUCUACUGGCCAAAAUCCAUUACCCACAAUGCAACCCGCUGUUUCCUGCCUAUCAGUCAACAAUGUCUCUGGCGCAGAGGACUGAAGGAAAAAAGAAUGGAGGAGACCAACUUUGGAAGUGGUCAGAGAAGCAUCAAGAGGCACACUGCACUGUGAGGAGAUGUUGGGGACCUACUGUACUACUGGUGUACUUGCUGAUCUUUACCCACUCAAGGCAUCCCGGCCAUUCCUGCUGACAUGGGAGCACUGCCGUGAACCAUCCAUGGAACCGAUGUCCUGGCAUCUGAUAGCAUGAAUUCUCCCAUUCCUGGUAGUGGAAAAGUUCAAGUUUCUGUGAGAUAAGCAGCAGUGAAACUGAACCCGGAUUGGAUAGUUCAGAAAAGGCUGGGAUGGAGAAGCGAGAAUGGAACCCAAAAGGUCCCUGGGGUUUGGACAGAAGGACGAAAUAGGCAAUUCAGAAAGAACAAACACCAGUAGAAAAGGCUUUAAGACUUGAAAAAGGAUGACACAUCUAAAAAGCAACAGGUCAGUAUUUGACCCUGGUUUUCGGGGCCCUCGGUUGAGUGUUCUUUUCUUUCCUUCACGGCCCUGGUACAAUUCCACUCCAUACUAGCAGCAUCUGAGAGGCUUUCAGGCCAUCUUCACCCUCUCAGCACUUGAUCUUCUGUGUUAGCUUUUCAUCACUGCGACCAAAAUACCCGACAAAAACUUAAGAGGAGGAAAAGUUUGUUUUGGGCCUCAUGGUACCAGAUGUCUCAGUCCAUGGUGUGGGCCUGAGGUGAGGCCGAAUCUCAUGGUAGAAGGGCAUGUCUCAGCUCAGGGCAGCCAGGAAACAGAGAGGGGCAAAGGGAAAGGAACCAGAGACAAAAUAUUGACCCCAAAGGUACAGCCCCAGUGACCCACUUCCUCCGGCCACAUCCCAUCUGUCAAGUUACCAUUCAGUAGCCCCUUCAGAUAUCAAUAGAUAGUUCAGCAAAUGGAUUAAUCCACUUGUGAGAUCAGAUCCCUAAUUAUUCCCUAUAAACGCCGCCUCUGAACCUUCCUGUAUUAGGGAUCAUGCCUUCAUAACAUGAGUUUUUGAGAGAAAUUCCAGUUCCAAAUCACUACAUUUUGCCAUUCCAUUGACAUGUGUAUCAGAGAAAGCUCUAACUAUGCUGAGGAUCUGUGGGUGGAAGUUCAUACUAGAGUCAAAAGAUUGGGCUUCCCAUCUGGACCUCCAGCUGUAAACUCAACAGAAAUUGUGUACACAUAUACACAGAAAUAUGUUCAUAGUAGCCAUAAAUAACAAACAACAAAAAUGUUGCCAUAUAUUUAUAUAGUGGAAUAUUAUACAGCUAUGGAUUUGAAGAAGUCAAAAUUCAUCUAUUGUACAUGCAACAAUAGAUGAAUAUCAAAGAGGCCUUGUUGAGCAAAAGAAACCAGAAAUAAAAGAGAACAUUUAUAUCAAUUUAUAUAAAUUUUAAAAACCUAUAAAACUAAUCAUUGGUGAUAGAAUUCAGGACACUGGCCCCCUUGGGAAUAGAGACUAGAAGUCGCACUUGUGAUCUGGGUGGUAGUAGUAUUCUAUUCUUGAUCUAGGUAGUGCAUUCAUAAAUAUGCCCAGUUUGUGAAAUUGUGUUGGGUUAAACUCUUAGUGUUUGAACACUUUUCCCUAGAUAACUUUUAGCUGUAAAAAUGUUUACACAAAUAUCUGAGUUACUGCUGGGUUUUUAUCCUGCUCUAUUAUUAACAGAUAUUUUUACCUUAGACAAAUCCCAAAAUCUCAUGGAGCCCCAGGUUUCUCAUUUAUAAAAUGAAUGAGAACAUCUGUCUGCCUUUUUCUCAAAUUUUAGUGGAAAUCAAAUACCUUAAUGAAUGAAAUUAUUACUGGAUUGAUAGAUGUAAUCUCAGCCUGUGAUGUCAUUUUGAAAACUCAGACUCAUUUAGUUGGCUUUCAAUUAUUCACUGCCUCAUUAUCUAGUCUGUGAGUGUUCUGAAUGUCUGCUCUUCUCUUCUAAACUGUUUAUCCAUAGGAGAAUUUUCAGCAGAAGAUGCAGCAAUAAGAGGAAAAGCAAUUAACUUUUAAUUUUUUUUUUACUUGGCACUGAUUUUGAUCGAGAAAGAGAUGAAAUAACGUUUUAAGAGUUUGUCUUGUAGUGUAAAUUUUAGAUUGUCAUUGUGUAUACUAACUUGAAUCUCUACAAAUUUAUCUAGAUUACUAAAAAUACUUGCUAUUAUUGGCGAUCUUAUCAUAGAUCAUGUAGGUAUCACCUAUAUGUUAUUAAUAUGUUUAUAGAUAUGUGUGUGUGUAUAUAUACAUAUAUAUAUACAUAUAUAUGUAUAUAUAUAAAUACAUAUAUAUUUAUAUAUAUAAAUUAUCUUAUUGGAGCCUCACAUGCAACCCAUUCAAUAAGCUUUGUUAAAACAUUUUGCAUUAAGAAAUCAGAUUCAGUCAGGCUACAGGAGUUCUUUUAAGUUACAUAAGAUGUGGCUUUGGUACCUGAGACUUUUUGCCUCCAUAACUGCUUUUCAUUCAUGCAAUUCCCUUCUGUUGGUUGUGCUCUUAGAGCACAGCUUUUCCAUUUAUGUUGCCCUCCUGAAUGAUCUGGAUGGCUUGACCACUGGCAGCAGCUGCUUUACUAAGAAAACAUCAAUGCCAAAUAGUCUAUCAUUUGCACAUGACACAGUCUACAUAUAAAGAUAAUAUGUGCAGUCUAGUUCCUUACCUCUUAACUAUAGAAAAUGCCUGAUAGAAAUUCUCUUUUAUGGAAAAAUCACAGCUUCAAAGCAUUUAAAGUUUGCAGCAAUUGGAAUGAAAAGUAAAGAAGUCAGUCACUGAUUACAAAAAAAGUUCUUGUGAUCUGAUCUUUUUCACAGGCAUCUCAGUCUUCUGGGCUUCCCCCCUCCCCCUACCCCAAUUUAGAACAGAUCUUAGUCUUCCAUCCCUAGACCCCAGUUCUCUGUCUAGGAUUAUAGGAGAACUUUGCACCAACUUCCAUGAAUUUAAAAAGAAACAUGAACUUUGUCCCAAAUAAAAGUGUACACAGUAGUCGAUGAGGUUGAGGAACAGAGGGGAUGGGGGCUUAGGGUGGAGUUUAAGGAAGCCUUAAGAAGAACCGGAAAUAUGGUGUGAUAGGUUAGAAUGAGUGCACUAAGGAGUCGCUGUGUUUGGUUUUCAGUAAGAAAACAAAGACAGAGCCUUUUCAGUCUUGCACAAAUGAAAGAGGGCAUUGGGUGUGAGGGUCUGCAGACAAGUGAUUAGCAAAGAGAUGUGAUCAGGUUUUUGUCUUUGUAUCGGUGCCGGGCUUGGAUCAGCAGGGUCUUGAUCUCAUUCAUUUUAUGUAAGAGAAGCUAAAGCAAGAGACCAUAAUAAAUGUGGUCGCUUCCUAGAGAGGUGUUCUAUCCGACAGCUUCAGCCUUAACAGCAAUGUCACCUUGCUGAUAGAGGUGACGAGACUGAGGGCAGGGAGGGUGGUGUGGAAAUGUGGAAAACUGAAAAACUGAAAAACUGGCUGGUCAUAACUGCCGAAGAACAAACUUAGGGGAUAGGAAAGGUAGCAGAAUACAACAAUUACUAAUUGGGCAUUAUGUAAAAUUGUGGAUGUGUAACCGACGUGAUUCUGCAAUCUGCAU